AUCCAGCGCUGGUGAUCCAGCGCUGGUAAUCCAAUGUAGACACUUACCAGCGCUUUUCUUGACCUCCGUGGAAGGAGGAAGCCUCUGGUAAUCAAGCUGGUCUCCUUCCCUGCGGUUUGCUGGGUGGCUCCGGGAACGCGAGAGCAAACCGCGGCGAAGCGGGUCUCCUUUCCCGGUUUGCUCUCUCGUUCCCGGAGCCCCGAGCAAGCAGGUCUCCUUCCCUGCGGUUUGCUGGGUGGCUCCGGGAACGCGAGAGCAAACCGCGGCGAAGCGGGUCUCCUUUCCCGGUUUGCUCUCUCGUUCCCGGAGCCCCGAGCAAGCAGGUCUCCUUCCCUGCGGUUUGCUGGGUGGCUCCGGGAACGCGAGAGCAAACCGCGGCGAAGCGGGUCUCCUUUCCCGGUUUGCUCUCUCGUUCCCGGAGCCCCGAGCAAGCAGGUCUCCUUCCCUGCGGUUUGCUGGGUGGCUCCGGGAACGAGAGAGCAAACCGCGGCGAAGCGGGUCUCCUUUCCCGGUUUGCUCUCUCGUUCCCGGAGCCCAGAGCAAGCAGGU